rnacentral:ncRNA from 1 species
UUGAGCCGUAUGAUGGGAAACUGUCAAGUACGGUUCUUGGGGGGCUUGGGGCUUGAAACAGCCUCCGGCUACCCGAU